rnacentral:rRNA from 1 species
CCAACCCUACGGGGCGCAGCAGUGGGGGAUAUUGCACAAUGGGGGGAACCCUGAUGCAGCGACGCCGCGUGGGUGAAGGAGCGUUUCGGCGCGUAAAGCCCUAUCGGCAGGGAAGAAGGAGGACGGUACCUGACUAAGAAGCCCCGGCUAACUACGUGCCAGCAGCCGCGGUAAUACGUAGGGGGCAAGCGUUAUCCGGAUUUACUGGGUGUAAAGGGGGCGCAGACGGCAGCGCAAGCCAGGAGUGAAAUCCCGGGGCCCAACCCCGGGCC